AUUGAACGCUGGCGGCGUGCUUAACACAUGCAAGUCGAACGAAGUGGCGAACGGGUGAGUAAUACGUGGGUAACCUGCCCUCCUUUUUGGGAUAAGCCUUGGAAACGGGGUCUAAUACCGAAUAAAGGGGGAUGGGCUCGCGGCCUAUCAGCUUGUUGGUGGGGUGAUGGCCUACCAAGGCGGUGACGGGUGGCCGGCCUGAGAGGGUGACCUGCAACAUUGGGACGGGGAUACGGCCCAGACGCCCAAGGGGGGGAGCAGUGGGGGAUAAUGGCAAAGGGGGGAAAGCCUGAAGCAGCGAAGCCGGGUGGGGGAUGAAGGCGUUCGGGGUGUAAACCUUCUUCGGUUUCGAACGGGUAGGUGGAGAAGAAGCGCCGGCUAACUACGUGCCAGCAGCCGCGGUAAUUC
rnacentral:rRNA from 1 species